UGCAAGUCGAACGGCACCCCUCUCCGGAGGGAAGCGAGUGGCGAACGGCUGAGUAACACGUGGAGAACCUGCCCCUCCCCCGGGAUAGCCGCCCGAAAGGACGGGUAAUACCGGAUACCCCCGGGCGCCGCAUGGCGCCCGGGCUAAAGCCCCGACGGGAGGGGAUGGCUCCGCGGCCCAUCAGGUAGACGGCGGGGUGACGGCCCACCGUGCCGACAACGGGUAGCCGGGUUGAGAGACCGACCGGCCAGAUUGGGACUGAGACACGGCCCAGACUCCUACGGGAGGCAGCAUG
rnacentral:rRNA from 1 species